CAAAUACUCCCUCCGUUCGGAAUUACUCGUCCAAGAAAUGAAUGUAUCUAAAUGUAUUUUAGUUGUAGAUACAUCCAUUUUUGUGACAAGUAAUUCCGAACAGAGGGAGUACAAA
rnacentral:pre_miRNA from 1 species